rnacentral:rRNA from 1 species
AUGAACGCUGGCGGCGUGCCUAAUACAUGCAAGUCGAGCGAACGGACGAGAAGCUUGCUUCUCUGAUGUUAGCGGCGGACGGGUGAGUAACACGUGGAUAACCUACCUAUAAGACUGGGAUAACUUCGGGAAACCGGAGCUAAUACCGGAUAAUAUUUUGAACCGCAUGGUUCAAAAGUGAAAGACGGUCUUGCUGUCACUUAUAGAUGGAUCCGCGCUGCAUUAGCUAGUUGGUAAGGUAACGGCUUACCAAGGCAACGAUGCAUAGCCGACCUGAGAGGGUGAUCGGCCACACUGGAACUUAGACACGGUCCAGACUCCUACGGGAGGCAGCAGUAGGGAAUCUUCCGCAAUGGGCGAAAGCCUGACGGAGCAACGCCGCGUGAGUGAUGAAGGUCUUCGGAUCGUAAAACUCUGUUAUUAGGGAAGAACAUAUGUGUAAGUAACUGUGCACAUCUUGACGGUACCUAAUCAGAAAGCCACGGCUAACUACGU